UACGUAGGGUGCGAGCGUUGUCCGGAAUUAUUGGGCGUAAAGAGCUCGUAGGCGGCUUGUCACGUCGGUUGUGAAAGCCCGGGGCUUAACCCCGGGUCUGCGGUCGAUACGGGCGGACUAGAGUACUGCAGGGGAGACUGGAAUUCCUGGUGUAGCGGUGAAAUGCGCAGAUAUCAGGAGGAACACCGGUGGCGAAGGCGGGUCUCUGGGCAGUAACUGACGCUGAGGAGCGAAAGCAUGGGGAGCGAACAGG
rnacentral:rRNA from 1 species